rnacentral:rRNA from 1 species
UGUGGUUUAUUCGAUGAUACGCGAGGAACCUUACCCGGGCUUGAAAGUUAGCGACGGAUCUGGAAACAGGUCUUCCCUUCGGGGCGCGAAACUAGGUGCUGCAUGGUUGUCGUCAGCUCGUGCCGUGAGGUGUCGGGUUAAGUCCCAUAACGAGCGCAACCCCUACCGUUAGUUGCCAUCAGGUGAAGCUGGGCACUCUGGCGGGACUGCCGGUGUAAGCCGAGAGGAAGGUGGGGAUGACGUCAAAUCAGCACGGCCCUUACGUCCGGGGCUACACACGUGUUACAAUGGUAGGUACAGAGGGUCGCUACCCCGUGAGGGGAUGCCAAUCUCGAAAGCCUAUCUCAGUUCGGAUUGGAGGCUGAAACCCGCCUCCAUGAAGUUGGAUUCGCUAGUAAUCGCGCAUCAGCCAUGGCGCGGUGAAUACGUUCCCGGGCCUUGUACACACCGCCCGU